UACGGGGGGAGCAAGCGUUGUUCGGAUUUACUGGGCGUAAAGGGCGCGUAGGCGGUCAGCACAAGUCAGUUGUGAAAUCUCCGGGCUUAACUCGGAAAGGUCAACUGAUACUGUGCGACUAGAGUGCAGAAGGGGCAACUGGAAUUCUCGGUGUAGCGGUGAAAUGCGUAGAUAUCGAGAGGAACACCUGCGGCGAAGGCGGCGCUCUGGGCCGGAACUGACGCUGAGGAGCGAAAGCGUGGGUAGCAAACAGG
rnacentral:rRNA from 1 species